ensembl:lncRNA
CCAGUUGUCAUUUAGACUGCUGCUUGUGCUGUGAAAAAUUUCUCAAGUUCACUGUGUCCUUAUAUGACUGUCUCAAUGUCUAAAGCAGGAUAUGGAGAUGGCAGAACCUGAGUCACGUGCUGGUGUCUUCUUUAUACCCAGCGUUUGCCCACACUUCGCAUCCCAGCCAAGUGACUGCUGCUGUUCUUCACUCUCCAAGACAAGAUCUGGGCAGGAUGAGAGUUCCCACCAGCAAGAAGGCACUCAUCAGGUAAGCCUCUCAACUUUGAACUUCUCAGCUUCCAUAAUUCUAAGAAAUAAUUUCCUUUUCUUUAUAAAUUAUGCAGUUUCAGGUAUUCUAUUAUUAGCAGCAGAAAAUGAACUGAAACAAAAACCAAGCAGGAUAAACAAUAAAAAAUUUACACAUAGGUAUAUCAUAUUUAAACAGAAGAAACUCAAAGACAAAGAGAACAUCUUAAAAUAGGCCAGGAGGAGUAAACACCUUACCUCUAGAAAAGCAAGGGUAAGAAUUACAUCAGAUUUUUCCUUAAAAAGCAAGAAAAUAGCGUAGUGAAAUAUUUAAAGUGUUGAAAGAAAAAAAUGCACCAACCUAGAAUUCUUAUAUCUAGUAAAAUUAUUCCUCAAAACUGAAAGAGGAACAAAGAUUUUCUAAAACCCAAGGUGGGGGAAUUUGUUGCCAGAAGACCCACCCUGCAAGAAAUGUUUAAAAAAUUAUUCAGAAGGAAAAAGGUGAUUUAGGUCAGAAACAGAUGUACACACAGAAAGAAAGAGGGUUAGAGAAGGAAUAAAUGAAGGUAAAAUAAAAUGUUUUGUUUUUCUUAUUCUCAAUGUAUAUAAUAGAAACACUUGUUUGAAAUAAUAAUGGCAACCAUAUGUUGGGAAAUUAUAAUGUAUAAAUGAGUGGAAUGAAGCAAUGUUAUAGAGGACAGCACAGAGGAACUGGGAAUAUUCUGUUAUGAGGUACUCGUACUACUCAUAAAAAGGUAUAGUGUUAUUUGACCUGGAUUAGUUGUCAGUUACAUUGCAAAAUCUAGGUACAAUGUGCACUGUAGAUUUUCAAAGUGUACAUUGCAAAACCCAGCAAAUUAUAAAAAGUAUAAUCGAUAUGCUAAGGGAGGAAAGAAGGUAGAAAAAGAAUGAAAGAUCAAAAAGAAACAAGAACAAGGCAAUGAAUAGAAAAAUAGUUACAGAUAUAGUAGAUAUCACUCUAACUAUAUCAACAAUCACAUGAAAUGUUAAAACACACCAACUAAAAGGCAAAGACUAUCAAAGUGUAUCAAAAAACAUGACCCAAUUAUUUGUUAUAGACAGGAAACUAAUUUUAAAUAUAAAGACACAGAUGGAUUAAAAUUUACUGGAUGAGGAAGGGUAUACCAUGCUAAUGCUGAUCCGUUGAAAGCUGGAGUAGCUAUAUUAGUUUUGGACAAAGCGAACUUCAGGACAAAAAACUUAUAAGGAUAAAGAGGAGCACAACAUAGUGAUAAAGGGUUUACUUUUCUAAAAGAAAGUAACAAUUCUUAAUGUAUCUGUUCAGAUAUUUUUGAAUAUAUUUUAUAUUUUGUUAAAGGCUGAUCAAUGUAGUGCAAUUAGCAUGUGACUGGAAAUCAGAAUUUAAAAAAAAUGUUUCCGAGAUGGAGUCUUACUCUGUGGCCACGGCUGGAGUGCAAUGGUGUGAUCUCAGCUCCCUGCCACCUCUGCCUCCUGGGUGCAAGUGAUUCUUCUGCCUCAGCCUCCCGAGUAGGGAGGCACACGCCACCACACCUGGCUAAUUUUUGUAUUUUUUUAGUAGAGAUGGGAUUUCAUCUUGUUGGCCAGGCUGGUCUCAAACUCCUUUAGUACACAGUUACUAUUUAGAAAAUAUUAAAUAUCACACUACCUAUAGAAGCAGGUUAGAAAGUCAGUCUAUAUUUGAAUUCUUAAAUCCAACAUACUAUCUACCACAUAAUUUUGUCAGGACAUAUUUUUUAUAAAAUAUGUGCAAACCAGCUGAACACCAUCCUCUAUAUAUAUUCCUUACAAAUACUGAUUAGGAUAUUCAUUCCAGAGUAUCUGUUUAAGGGACAGGCAACAUUUUCUUCUAAUAUAUAACUGAUCAUAGCUUUUAAGCUAGAUCCCAGUCAUUGGUGUUGCCUCUGAAACCCUGCUUCCUUCCAAUUUCCUUUCUCUUCUUCUCACUAUCUUUUCAAAGCCAAAAGUUCUUACAGGUAGGAGAGUUUAUGAAUAUUACUGAAGAGGGAGUUGCAAAAUUAGAUUCGCUUUUUUCUUAUACAUGUGUUUAUGUCUUGGCAAAGAAUUAUGCAGCUGAAGAAAAACGAGAUGGAUGAUUGUUGAGAUCUGUUUGUUUUGUAAGUAAUAAUAAUAACAAAUGACAAUAGCAACACAAUGCACAUUUGCUGAGUGCAUGGUGAUGUGCCAGGUACCACGAGAAACAGAUAUUGAAGGUCAUGUCUUUAUUUUAGUUUUGUGGAAGCCCUUAUUUCCAAACAGCAUAAUCAAACUAAUAGAUUUUAGCACAAAAAUGAUUCAGUGACUAAUGAAAUCACCACAACUGGAGAAGCCAACUUGGGUUAUAUGACACAGUAUCGGUUCAGCAAAGACACCAACACAUCUCUGCCUACCAAGCACCUCCACCCAUGCACUUACACUUUCAACAUCCAUGACCCAGAAAGGUGGAUACAGCAUGACUUCCACUGCUCUUGCAGCUCCAGGAACUUGGACUUGCUGCAAACCCCACCUCUCUCCUUCCCAAUCUCUUCUUUGCAUCAUUAGUAACCAUUUCAAAGCCUGAGGUGUGUUCAGGUUUUGAAAUCGGGUUGGUGAAGGAGCUGUCUGUCAGUGUACUCCAAAGUGGAGCACAAAUAAUAGUAGCAGCAUCAACAUCAGUUGAAGGUUCAAUUGCAAAUCAUUCAAUUGGCUCCACUCUAUUCUUAGUCAAUAUGUAGGCUUGGGAAGGUUUGGGGAGCCCUCAAAUGCACUCUACUAUGCACCCGAAAGCUUGCAAAGCAAUUGUUUAGGGUAAAAUAUUCAUGCUUGCAAAACAGGCUGGCAAACAAAGUUACAGGCAUUUUCAGCUUUGUAGCCAGAAGUGGAUCAGCCUCUUCCAAGACUGGCAAAGCGAAGUCCCAAGACACAUGAAGGGGGUUUAGCACUUCAGUAGUCAAAAAGAAAGACAAAUGUCCAGCACAGCUGCUGUUCUUGGAAUGUCACAGCUGGAUUUUCCACCUUGUGAGGAUUAACCAGUGGAGCUUAGUCUCCUUUGUCAGGGGGUGUCUCUGACAGCCCCAUUAACCCUCACAUUACUAUAGAGCUCAAUCUCUCCUCCUCAGUGACUUGUCCCUUCCUUUUUCUCCUUCCUCCUUCCCUCUCCCUUUCUGCCUCUCUUCUGCUCCUUUUAUUUCUUUUCCUCCUGCCACCUCUAAAGUUGAUUUGAGGUGUCUUCCUUUAAGAUUUCAGGGAAAAGGGUUUAUUUCUCUUCUGUUAAAGGCUGCUGUAAUCAAUGGCUCACAAAGUUAAUGAAGCUUUCAGGGGAAGUUCUUUUUCAUUUUUUUUCCAUCAGGCUAAGAAAUCAUACACCCAGGGCUUGCUCUAGGCAAAGCAUCAAAGCGGAGACGUUGAUCUUCAGUGCCUCCAGGCUCUCUUUCAGUUUCUUUCCCUCUUAGGACAUCCCUCCACCGCCUUCCCUUCCUCCUCCCACCCCUGCCCCAACUCCCACCAAUUAAGACUUGCUCUUUGGAAAGAAU